rnacentral:pre_miRNA from 1 species
GGGGGGAGGCCGGAUCCUGGUCUGUGUCCCGGCGCCCUGAGCUCCGGCACGUGCGCUGUUGGGUUCGCGCUCCUGGCCCGGCAGGCCCCU